rnacentral:rRNA from 1 species
UACGAAGGGUGCAAGCGUUGCUCGGAAUUAUUGGGCGUAAAGCGCACGUAGGCGGCUUUGCAAGUCCCAUGUGAAAGCCCACGGCUCAACCGUGGAAGUGCAUGGGAAACUGCAGAGCUUGAGUACUUAAGAGGAUCGCGGAAUUCCCGGUGUAGAGGUGAAAUUCGUAGAUAUCGGGAGGAACACCAGUGGCGAAGGCGGCGAUCUGGGAAGAUACUGACGCUGAGGUGCGAAAGCGUGGGGAGCAAACAGG